AGAGUUUGAUCCUGGCUCAGAGCGAACGCUGGCGGCGUGCUUAACACAUGCAAGUCGAACGGGUGUAGCAAUACACUCGUGGCGAACGGGUGCGUAACACGUGGACAACCUUCCUGCAGGUGGGGAAUAACUCGCCGAAAGGCGAGCUAAUACCGCAUAACAUCUCGAGGGCACAUGCUCUUGAGUUCAAAGCCGCAAGG
rnacentral:rRNA from 1 species